GGUUNCNCUUNACUAUCGGGCGGCCAAACACAUGCAAGCCGAGCGGUAUUUGUCUUUCGGGACAGAGAGAGCGGCGUACGGGUGCGGAACACGUGUGCAACCUACCUUUAUCAGGGGGAUAGCCUUUCGAAAGGAAGAUUAAUACCCCAUAAUAUAUUGAUUGGCAUCAGUUAAUAUUGAAAACUCCGGUGGAUAGAGAUGGGCACGCGCAAGAUUAGAUAGUUGGUAGGGUAACGGCUUACCAAGUCAGUGAUCUUUAGGGGGCCUGAGAGGGUGAUCCCCCACACUGGUACUGAGACACGGACCAGACUCCUACGGGAGGCAGCAGUGAGGAAUAUUGGACAAUGGGUGAGANCCUGAUCCAGCCAUCCCGCGUGAAGGACGACGGCCCUAUGGGUUGUUAAACUUCUUUUGUUUANGGAUAANCUUUCCNCNUNUGNAAACUGAAGUUCUAUACNAAUAANCCCNGNUACUCCUUCCACACCNCGGUNUACGAGGUUCACCUUUCCG
rnacentral:rRNA from 1 species